rnacentral:rRNA from 1 species
GUCCUAGCCGUAAACGGUGCACGUUUGCUGUAAAGGAAUCGACCCCUUUGUGGCGUAGCCAACGCGUUAAACGUGCCGCCUGGGAAGUACGGUCGCAAGAUUAAACUCAAAGAAAUUGACGGGGCCUGCACAAGCGGUGGAGUAUGUGGCUCAAUUCGAUGCAACGCGAAGAACCUUACCUGGCCUUGACAUGUACGUAGUAGAAGGGUGAAAGCCUGACGAGAUAGCAAUAUCAGCGUACACAGGUGCUGCAUGGCUGUCGU